UACGUAGGGUGCGAGCGUUGUCCGGAAUUAUUGGGCGUAAAGGGCUCGUAGGCGGUUUGUCGCGUCGGGAGUGAAAACCCAGGGCUUAACCCUGGGCUGGCUUCCGAUACGGGCAGACUAGAGGUAUGCAGGGGAGAACGGAAUUCCUGGUGUAGCGGUGAAAUGCGCAGAUAUCAGGAGGAACACCAAUGGCGAAGGCAGCUCGCUGGAACGGUACUGACGCUGAGGCGCGAAAGCGUGGGGAGCAAACAGG
rnacentral:rRNA from 1 species